CAGAAAGCUCCCUCAACCCAUCCUGCCAUGUGAGGACACAUGAACCAAGAGGAAGAUCCUCAUUAGACACUGAAUCUGCUGGUGCCUUGAUCUUGGACAUCCAGAACUGUAAGAGAUAAACUGCUGUUUUUUAUAAGCCACUCAGUCUGUGGUGUUCUAUUAUAGCAGCCCAAGCUGAUUAAGGCAUUAUGUUCUUUCCAGAUUUUUUCUUCUGAUUGAUUUGGAGUUUCAUACCAUGGCGGCUGGAAAAGAGGCACCAAAAGAUUCCAUCUUCUUGAAGCUGCACAUCGUUUGGAAAACGGGAAAGCGCUGCUCCCGGGGUGCCGCACACUCUCCCUGCAGCCACGAGCCCACGAGCCCACGCCGGCGUGCCAAGACCACAAGGUCCCAAUCACGGGGGAAUCUGCGUGAGGCCACCCGAGAUCUCAGAACCCAGGAAGGCCGGGUUGGGACGCCAACAUUUCUUACGGGCUAUGACCUGGCCGGCUCUUUUGUCCCCUGCAUUUGCAGAGGAAACAACGGUGGAGGUCAUCCAAACAAGAACACGAGCUCCAAAUCAAA